rnacentral:rRNA from 1 species
UACGGAGGGUGCAAGCGUUAUCCGGAUUCACUGGGUUUAAAGGGUGCGUAGGUGGGUUGGUAAGUCCGUGGUGAAAUCUCCGAGCUUAACUCGGAAACUGCCGUGGAUACUAUCAAUCUUGAAUAUCGUUGAGGUAAGCGGAAUAUGUCAUGUAGCGGUGAAAUGCUUAGAUAUGACCUAGAACACCGAUAGCGGAGGCAGCUUACUAAGCGAUCAUUGACACUGAGGCACGAAAGCGUGGGGAGCAAACAGG